UCGUUAGCGAUUUCACAAGUUCAAUCUGUUUUCUAAUCGUUAAGUAAAUUUAGCAUUUUAGUUGUUUUAUAUACUAGAUUUACAAUACGAUAUGAAAACUAAUCGAACUUUAGUUGUUCAAUUUUUUUCUGAAAAGAUUGGUCGAGAUCCUUGAGGUUGGAUAGUUUUGACAUAGGCUCUAGGAUUCGAUCACUGAAAAGGUUAUAUAGUCAAGGAAUGUUCAAGCAGAGAUGAUGAUGAAGAGCAAUUCAUAGUUUCAAGAGAGUAGCUAAGAUGGUUUUUGGUCCAAAUGAAUCUCUGACACAAGAGGCAUGGUGAGUAGAGAACAAGGAAGGUUUCCAGAAAAGUGAUUAUUGGUUAGAUUGUAUAAAGGGGGAAAACUACCGGUCAGUUCGUUUUGUGAAAGGCUCAAGGAAGUAAAGACGGCUUAGGCUACUGAUUGAGGAUGGAAUUUCUCCGACUAAGCCCAUACCAGUUAGAUGCAAGACCUCUCAGUUGGUGAGUCUUCCAAGUUGGGCGAAGAAUGAGGACGAGUCAAAGUGGUUGUAAGCGAGAUCGAGAUACCUGAGGUGAUGAAGUCUGAAAAGACUUACUAUUAGCAUUGAGGGAGCCUCUGAGACAUGCACCAUAUAGGUCUAGCUUCGUCACUACACCGGUCUCGUUAUCAAAUUUGUCGUUGCAUUUGAGUAAGUCAAGUUGCAUUUGGGGAAUGGAAAUUCAUUUUUAAAAGCCAAAAAGGAUCUCAAUUUGGUCGGGACGAGGAAGUGGCAAAGAAAAAAGACUGAUAACAGAGAAGCUGGAUAGAAAGACACAACACAAGAAACAGGAGAUGGAGAAAACAGGCAAAAGCGGUUUUACCAAUAAAGACUUGAAAGAAAAGAAGAGACCGAAGGAGAAAUUUG